CGGUAAACAGAGGGAAGCGAAGCGGUGACGUGGAGCGAAUCCCAAAAAUAACGUCCCAGUUCGGAUUGUAGUCUGCAACCCGACUACAUGAAGCUGGAAUCGCUAGUAAUCGCGGAUCAGAAUGCCGCGGUGAAUACGUUCCCGGGUCUUGUACACACCGCCCGUCACACCAUGGGAGUCGGAAAUGCCCGAAGUCUGUGACCUAACCGCAAGGGAGGAGCAGCCGAAGGCAGGUCGGAUGACUGGGGUGAAGUCGUAACAAGGUAAC
rnacentral:rRNA from 1 species